UCAGACUGCUGGCCGGGUAGCUGGCUAUCGGUAGCAAGCUAGUGUAGCAGUGUGAUGUUGUACCCCUAGAUUAUGCACCAAGUUGCACACAAGGACCAAUUCAAAUAGGCCAGGUCAAGAGGGGAUGUUAAUAAUUUGAUAAUAAUAAUAAUUCAGUUGAAUUUUUUUUAUUUUUAAUUACAGCUGCAUAGCUAAUGUUUUUAUUUGGUGUACAAACACUUUUUCAUAUCAAUAUUGUACAUACAUGUGAUUGUAAAAGUUUUGUAUAUUUUGGUUUGGCCCAUCGCGGGUUAUCUGUAUUUCCAUACCACUAGUGUUCUCUUUUGCCUGACCUUCGGCUAGCAAGGUUCCUGAGAGCUGUGACUUCGCCAAGGGUUAACAUAAUGUGUGUUGUCUCUUCGUGUGCAGCUAGCAGAGCCAAGCAUUUGCUGGUGUACAUCAACCCUUAUGGGGGCAAGCAGCAAGGCAAGUGCAUUAUGAGCAGAAAGUCUCGCCUCUCUUCGCCUGUGCCUCCAUCUCCACGGACGUGAUUGGUGAGUUCCUGCCAAAGACAUUAAACAUGCUUUAAUAAAAGAUGAGUCUUUAUGGGCCAAGUCAAAUUGUUCACUCUAGGCAAAUGGGCACAAGCUCUCUCAGGCCGCACAGGAAUAUGACAUAAUUUACGGCCGCCAUCUGUCAUCCUAGUUCCUCAUUGGAAAGGAUGAUGGUCGAUGAAUACUGGAUUCCUUUACAUCCCGUUUACUUCUCAGACUAGCGGAAGACUGUAGACAUUUGUCAAAGUCAUAUAUUUUGACGAAUUGCAUUUAACUAUACAGCUGCUUGAGUUGAUCAAAAUAUUGAUACAGUAUUUGAACAAUUGUAACAAAAAAAAAAAAAAAAAAGUGGGUGUGAAAAUGUUUGCACAUAAAAUCUAACUAUUCCUUUGGCUACAAAUUGUUUCAAUGUCUAACAAUUAGAGAAGAGAAAAUGUCUACUUUAGGACUUCUGCUAUCUCAGACUUCUUCAUGGAAAAUGCUUAGUCGAUAUAUUGCGAGUGAAUGAUUACUCCUUAAGUCCAAAAUAUCGAUUUAUGCAACAAAUUAGGAAAACAUCAUGCGAUAUAAAUUAGAUAUAAAGGAUGAGAGAUAUAGAGAGAGAGAGAGACAGAGGGAAAAAGAGAGGACACACAGAGAGACAGAGAUAGAGGCAGACAUACAGUAAAUUACUCAAAUGUCAAAUGUAAGCACAUUCCAUUCGUUCCCAUGUGGAUAUGCUUUGCUCCCAUAGGAGAAUGAUCGAGGCUAAAAGUUCGUAGUAGCAUGGGUAGUGCUAUUGAAGGCUUCCACCAUUUCAAUGUAGUCAACUGGGUGGGACUUCAUUGGCUGAUCUUUCCUGGUGAACUUGUUGUAGUCAUGUCCAACGGUCAUCUUGACGGAUCAGCCAAUCAUGAAGAAGAAAAAUUACUACUUCAAAAUGGAGAUAGCCUCAAUGGCACUGCCAAUGCUGUUAGACGUUAUAAUGCCACAGACACAAAGAGGAGUCCCCUGUCUCGAUGUUUGCUCCUCGUCUGAAUCUCAGGUGACAAGGGAUGUCGUACUAUGGCUCAGUUUACACAGGCAGCCCAAUUCUGAUCUUUUUUUCACUAAAUGGUCUUUUGACCUAUAAAAUAUCUAAUGUGAAAAUAUCUGAUUUGUACGUUUGUUUAUGUGUAACUGUUGUUUUUGUCGCACUGCUAUGCUUUAUCUUGGCCAGCUUGCAGUUGUAAAUGAGAACUUGUUCUCAACUGGCCUACCUGGUUAAAUAAAGGUGAAAUAAAUAAAACAAUGAACUUGAAGUCUGUAGUUGUACACAGUGAAGCAUUGAGGAUGAGUAUUUGCGUUCUUAGAGUGAUGUCAUAAUGCAUCAUGCGGUCAUAAGAAGAUAGAAUCCUCUUGCUAUUAGGCUAGAAUCUUAGGUGGGAGAACAUUCCUAGAGAAGGUUAGUUGGAGACGGUCAUCAUAUUGGUAAGUCAUGUUUAUAAAUUUUUCCAAAAGUUAUGGUGAAUCUACUAUAAUGGAGAGGACGGUUUUAGGCAAAUAUGAUAGAAAUCCUUAGCCUACUGCGAGUAUCUAACUCCUGUCUUAUGUUUAAAUUAAUAUUUUCUUGGUUAAAGAUUGGUUUGCAUUAACAGCAUAGUGUACUGUACUAUAAACAUUUUGAAAAGAUUUACACAAAAUCUAUAGUAUAAAGAGAAGUUUGCAUAAUUGGUUGGUCACAGCUUUUUAAGUUUGGAUACAGGGCAGUCUUAUGGUGAGAUGCAAAAUAAUGUAUUAGAGACACUAGAAAUGUAGGCAUUGAUGAAAGA